AUUGAACGCUGGCGGCAUGCUUUACACAUGCAAGUCGAACGGCAGCGCGGUCUUCGGCCGGUCUGCGAGUGGCGAACGGGUGAGUAAUUCAUCGGAACGUGGCCAUUUGUUGGUUAGAGCGGGGCGAAAGCCGGAUUAAUACCGCAUACGACCUGAGGGUGAAAGCGGGGGAGCGAAAGACCUCCCGCUCUUGGAGGGGCCGAUGUCGGAUUAGCUAGUUGGUGGGGUAAAGGCGUACCAAGGCGACGAUCCGUAGCUGGUCUGAGAGGACGAGCAGCCACACUGGAACUGAGACACGGCCCAGACUCCUACGGGAGGCAGCAGUGGGGAAUUUUGGACAAUGGGCGCAACCCUGAUCCAGCCAUGCCGCGUGCGGGAAGAAGGCCUUCGGGUUGUAAACCGCUUUUGUUCGGGAAGAAAUGCUCUGGGCUAAUACCCCGGGGGGAUGACGGUACCGGAAGAAUAAGCACCGGCUAACUACGUG
rnacentral:rRNA from 1 species